AGCUGGUCGCAAGCUAACCGAAUGUUCGGUCGGGCAGCAAGGGGUGAUGGCCACAUGGGACGUGGCGAGGACGU
rnacentral:tRNA from 1 species